rnacentral:misc_RNA from 1 species
GAUGAAGAACGCAGCGAAAUGUGAUAAGUAAUGCGAAUUGCAGAAUUUCCGUGAGUCAUCGAAUCUUUGAACGCACAUUGCGCCCACUGGUAUUCCGGUGGGCAUGCCUGUUCGAGCGUCAUUAUCCUCCCUCAAACCUCGGGUUUGGUGUUGGACCCAAGUUGUGUGAACAACUGGUCUCAAAGACAAUGACGGCGUCCGUGGGACCCUCGGUGCAACGAGCUUUUAAACGAGCACGCGUCGAGUUUCAAGGACCUUCCGGGCCGGUCUCCUUCUUUUAUUUACAAAGGUUGACCUCGGAUCAGGUAGGAAUACCCGCUGAACUUAAGCAUAUCAAUAAGCGGAGGA